rnacentral:rRNA from 1 species
AAACUUUCAACAACGGAUCUCUUGGCUCUGGCAUCGAUGAAGAACGCAGCGAAAUGCGAUAAGUAAUGUGAAUUGCAGAAUUUAGUGAAUCAUCGAAUCUUUGAACGCACAUUGCGCCCCUUGGUAUUCCGGGGGGCAUGCCUGUCCGAGCGUCAUUU